rnacentral:rRNA from 1 species
UACGUAGGGUGCGAGCGUUGUCCGGAAUUAUUGGGCGUAAAGAGCUCGUAGGCGGUUUGGUAAGUCGGGUGUGAAAUCUCCACGCUCAACGUGGAGGGGCCACUCGAUACUGCCAUGACUCGAGUCCGGUAGAGGAGUGUGGAAUUCCCGGUGUAGCGGUGAAAUGCGCAGAUAUCAGGAAGAACACCCGUGGCGAAGGCGGCUACCUGGACCGGUUCUGACACUGAGGAGCGAAAGCGUGGGGAGCCGAUCCGG